AGGGCACCACCAGGAGUGGAGCCUGCGGCUUAAUUUGACUCAACACGGGAAACCUCACCCGGCCCGGACACGGACAGGAUUGACAGAUCGAUAGCUCUUUCUCGAUUCCGUGGGUGGUGGUGCAUGGCCGUUCUUAGUUGGUGGAGCGAUUUGUCUGGUUAAUUCCGAUAACGAACGAGACUCUGGCAUGCUAACUAGUUACGCGACCCCCCGAGCGGUCGGCGUCCCCCAACUUCUUAGAGGGACAAGUGGCGUUCAGCCACCCGAGAUUGAGCAAUAACAGGUCUGUGAUGCCCUUAGACGUCCGGGGCUGCACGCGCGCUACACUGACUGGCUCAGCGUGUGCCUACCCUACGCCGGCAGGCGCGGGUAACCCGUUGAACCCCAUUCGUGAUGGGGAUCGGGGAUUGCAAUUAUUCCCCAUGAACGAGGAAUUCCCAGUAAGUGCGGGUCAUAAAGCUUGCGUUGAUUAAGUCCCUGCCCUUUGUACACACCGCCCCGUCGCUACUACCGAUUGGA
rnacentral:rRNA from 1 species